GACGAACGCUGGCGGCGUGCUUAACACAUGCAAGUCGAACGGUGAAGCGCCUUCCUUUUUGGUGGGUGUGGAUGAGUGGCGAACGGGUGAGUAACACGUGAGUAACCUGCCCCCUUCUUCUGGAUAACCGCAUGAAAGUGUGGCUAAUACGGGAUAUUCUGGGUCUGUCGCAUGAUGGGUCUGGGAAAGAUAUUGUUUCGGUGGGGGGUGGGCUCGCGGCCUAUCAGCUUGUUGGUGGGGUGAUGGCCUACCAAGGCGGUGACGGGUAGCCGGCCUGAGAGGGUGGACGGUCACACUGGGACUGAGACACGGCCCAGACUCCUACGGGAGGCAGCAGUGGGGAAUAUUGCACAAUGGGCGCAAGCCUGAUGCAGCGACGCCGCGUGAGGGAUGGAGGCCUUCGGGUUGUGAACCUCUUUCGCCAGUGAAGCAGGCCUGCCUCGUUUGUGGGUGGGUUGACGGUAGCUGGAUAAGAAGCGCCGGCUAACCACGUG
rnacentral:rRNA from 1 species